GACGAACGCUGGCGGCGUGCCUAAUACAUGCAAGUCGAGCGGACCGGAUUGGGGCUUGCCUUGAUUCGGUCAGCGGCGGACGGGUGAGUAACACGUGAGCAACCUGCCCGCAAGACCGGGAUAACUCCGGGAAACCGGAGCUAAUACCGGAUAACACCGAAGACCGCAUGGUCUCCGGUUGAAAGGCGGCCUUUGGGCUGUCACUUGCGGAUGGGCCCGCGGCGCAUUAGCUAGUUGGUGAGGUAACGGCUCACCAAGGGGACGAUGCGUAGCUGGCCUGCGAGGGUGACCGGCCACACUGGGACUGAGACACGGCCCAGACUCCUACGGGAGGCAGCAGUAGGGAAUCUUCCGCAAUGGGCGAAAGCCUGACGGAGCGACGCCGCGUGAGCGAAGAAGGCCUUCGGGUCGUAAAGCUCUGUUGUGAGGGACGAAGGAGCGCCGUUCGAAGAGGGCGGCGCGGUGACGGUACCUCACGAGAAAGCCCCGGCUAACUACGUGCCAGCAGCCGCUGUAA
rnacentral:rRNA from 1 species